ACCCCAAGGGAUUAGCUUGUAGAGAGGGUAUUGGCUUUAACGAGUUGAUUUGAUAUUGCCUGCUUAGUUAGAGAUCGCUAAUUAGAAUUAGGUCAGUGUCUAGCUUUUCUUGAGGAUUUCUAUCACGGGAGUGAAUUAAUCUGUUGUUGAACUUGUUGUCUAGGGAUAGCUUCUGUGAAGUUUUGUCCACCGCCUGAAUAGAUUAAGGAGGCCACACUAUUCGAUUACCCCAUCCUUAGGAAUCGUUUAUCCAUUUGACAGCCUGUUAUCAUUUGAUUUGUUAUUCACCUGCCUCUAAUUGCCAUUUCUGCUUUUAGUUUCAUUUCAUUUCUGUUAUUGCAUACUAGGACUGUUAGAACCAACCAACUCUCUGCUUGACUUGAAUUAGAGCUUUCUAAUCAUAUCUCAUCUGUUUACAUCACAUCGGAUUGGAUUGACAACCUAAAAUACUACAACAACAGGAUAGUGUUUUAGGAUUAAUUGAGUAAAAUCUUAAUAUCAAUUUGGCGCCGUUGCCAAUUUGGUGUUUGUUUGCUAUAUUUGAGAUCAUU
rnacentral:sRNA from 1 species